UACGGGGGGGGCUAGCGUUGUUCGGAAUUACUGGGCGUAAAGCGCGCGUAGGCGGUCAUGCAAGUCAGGGGUGAAAUCCCGGAGCUUAACUCCGGAACUGCCUUUGAAACUGCAUGGCUAGAAUGUGUGAGGGGAUAGCGGAAUUGCUAAUGUAGAGGUGAAAUUCGUAGAUAUUAGCAGGAACACCGGUGGCGAAGGCGGCUAUCUGGCACACUAUUGACGCUCUGGCGCGAAAGCGUGGGGAUCAAACAGG
rnacentral:rRNA from 1 species